GACGGGGGGUCCUAGCGUUGUUCGGAAUUAUUGGGCGUAAAGCGUGCGCAGGCGGCUAUGCAAGACAGAUGUGAAAUCCCCGGGCUCAACCUGGGAAUGGCAUUUGGGACUGCAAGGCUUGAGUGCGGCAGAGGAGACUGGAAUUCCUGGUGUAGCAGUGAAAUGCGUAGAUAUCAGGAGGAAUACCGAUGGCGAAGGCAGGUCUCUGGGCUGACACUGACGCUCAUGCACGAAAGCGUGGGGAGCAAACAGG
rnacentral:rRNA from 1 species